rnacentral:rRNA from 1 species
AGCAGCCGCGGUAAUUCCAGCUCCAAUAGCGUAUAUUAGAGUUGUUGCAGUUAAAAAGCUCGUAGUUGAAUUUCGGGAUUCUACCGUUGGUCGGGCUAUUGUCUGUACUGGCGUGUAGAAUUUCUACCUUCUGGGGAACUAUCAUGUUAUUAAUUUAGCGUGGUAGGAAACCAGGACCUUUACCUUGAAAAAAUUAGAGUGUUCAAAGCAGGCUUAUGUCUGAAUACAUUAGCAUGGAAUAAUAAAAUAGGACGGUGGUCCUGUUUUGUUGGUUUCUGAAUCACCGCAAUGAUUAAUAGGGAUAGUUGGGGGCAUUAGUAUUCAAUUGUCAGAGGUGAAAUUCUUGGAUUUAUUGAAGACUAACUACUGCGAAAGCAUUUGCCAAGGAUGUUUUCAUUAAUCAAGAACGAAAGUUAGGGGAUCGAAGACGAUCAGAUACCGUCGUAGUCUUAACCAUAAACUAUGCCGACUAGGGAUCGGACGAUGUUAACUUUUCUUGACUCGUUCGGCGCCUUACGGG